rnacentral:rRNA from 1 species
UUCGCAAUGCCCGAAAGGGUGACGAAGCGACGCCGCGUGCGGGAAGAGGGCCUUCGGGUUGUAAACCGCUGUCGGGAGUUAGGAAAUGCAAGGAUGUUAAUAGCAUCUUUGCUUGACUAAGGCUCCGGAGGAAGCCACGGCUAACUCUGUGCCAGCAGCCGCGGUAAUACAGAGGCGGCAAGCGUUGUUCGGAAUUAUUGGGCGUAAAGAGCACGUAGGCGGCCUUGUAAGUCAGUUGUGAAAGCCUUCUGCUUAACGGAAGAACAGCAUCUGAUACUGCAAGGCUAGAGUGCGGAAGGGGAGAGUGGAACUUCUGGUGGAGCGGUGAAAUGCGUAGAUAUCAGAAGGAACACCGGCGGCGAAGGCGACUCUCUGGUCCGUAACUGACGCUGAGUGUGCGAAAGCUAGGGGAGCAAACGGGAUUAGAUACCCCGGUAGUCCUAGCCGUAAACGAUGGGCACUAAGUAGAGGGGUUUU